GAUGAACGCUAGCUACAGGCUUAACACAUGCAAGUCGAGGGGAAACGACAUCGAAAGCUUGCUUUUGAUGGGCGUCGACCGGCGCACGGGUGAGUAACGCGUAUCCAACCUGCCCAUCACUUGGGAAUAACCUUGCGAAAGUAAGACUAAUACCCAAUGAUAUCCCACGAAGGCAUCGGAAUGGGAUUAAAGAUUUAUCGGUGAUGGAUGGGGAUGCGUCUGAUUAGCUUGUUGGCGGGGUAACGGCCCACCAAGGCAACGAUCAGUAGGGGUUCUGAGAGGAAGGUCCCCCACAAUGGAACUGAGACACGGUCCAAACUCCUACGGGAGGCAGCAGUGAGGAAUAUUGGUCAAUGGGCGAGAGCCUGAACCAGCCAAGUAGCGUGCAGGAAGACGGCCCUAUGGGUUGUAAACUGCUUUUAUAAGGGAAUAAAGUGGGUCACGUGUGACUUUUUGCAUGUACCUGAUGAAUAAGGACCGGCUAAUUCCGUG
rnacentral:rRNA from 1 species